AGCGCAGGCGGUUUGAUAAGUCUGAAGUUAAAGGCUGUGGCUCAACCAUAGUUCGCUUUGGAAACUGUCAAACUUGAGUGCAGAAGGGGAGAGUGGAAUUCCAUGUGUAGCGGUGAAAUGCGUAGAUAUAUGGAGGAACACCGGUGGCGAAAGUGGCUCUCUGGUCUGUAACUGACGCUGAGGCUGAAAGCGUGGGGAGCGAACA
rnacentral:rRNA from 1 species